rnacentral:lncRNA from 1 species
AUUUACUCUCAUAGCACAGUCUCUUAUUCAACCCGUAACGUGUUCAUUACUCUUUUUACGGAAAUUCUUUGUAGUUAUUUUUUAAUAAAGUUUAACCCGAGUAAUUUUUAUUUACUCCGACUAUAGAAUUUUUUUUUUAUUAAUUUUUAGAAAAUUUACUGACUUAUAAUGAUAACUUUUUCAUCCGACCAAAAGACCGUUUAUUUUUUUUUCUUUCGAAAUAAAAUUGCAUUGUAAAAAAAAAAAAGUUGUUUUUGUUUUAUAACUAUACGAAGUGUGAACAGUACGUAAGAGAUUUUCAAUGUUGUUUAAAACUCAAAAAAAUCCAUUUUUGUAAAACAUUCUAUUGUGUACUUACAUGUAUGCGUAUAUGAGAAUGUGUGUAUACACAUAUAGAUGAACAAGUAUCGGACCGACACACAGAGAUCGGAGAAAUGAUAUUGGAAUUGGAAAAAACUGUAUAGAAAUAGGAAUCCUUUAUAGAUAAAAAUAAAAAUAUCCAUUGGUGGUGUAGAAUAUAAUGUACAUGUAUGUACCUGUAUGUGUGUAAAAUGUUUCGAGCCCCUUGGAUGUUCAGCAAAAAGUUUCAAUUUCGCGGAGCUCACCGGUCAGUGUCUCAUCGGGUUACCUAGAGGCGAAUCGCUCUCGUGAGACGUGAUUUGCUUUGACGAGAUAAGAGAUAACUAUAAAUAUCAUCGAUGCCGGGGCUGCUUUUUUGGAUUAAGGAUAUUCGUUAGGGUUUCUGAAUAAAGCAAGAAAUCGGAGGAAAUAAAAAUGGUGCAAAGAAAAUUUUCAGUUUGGAAAAUCGAAUGAUACGCCCUGGUGAAUAAUUUCACUUGCCCUUUUCUCAGAGUAUCACGUAAGCACGAUAAAACUUUUUCCGUACUCUCAUGAGGCUAUUUUUGGAUAUAUUCUAACAUUUUUCUCAACUUUUAUAUACGUCACAUCUAUGAAAAAAAAUAUUUAUUCUAGUCAACAGUUGGAAUGCUUUAUAUAAAAUUUAAUGUUAUCAAAAAAAAAAAAAUUCUUUAGUUUAAGACAGAAAAUAAAAUGAUUGAGUGAAGAAAAAAAAAAGGCAAAGCAAGGAAAAAAUUAUGGCAAGAUAAAAACGGAUUCGUGUAAUGUCUCAUUUUUAACGGCCAGAGGACACGCAUUUCUUUUUAAGAAGAAGAAGAGUUCAAAUAAAUAAAAA